CCGCCGACCGACCUUGAUCUUCUGAGAAGGGUUCGAGUGCGAGCAUACCUGUCGGGACCCGAAAGAUGGUGAACUAUGCCUGAGCGGGGCGAAGCCAGAGGAAACUCUGGUGGAGGCCCGAAGCGAUACUGACGUGCAAAUCGUUCGUCUGACGUGGGUAUAGGGGCGAAAGACUAAUCGAACCGUCUAGUAGCUGGUUCCCUCCGAAGUUUCCCUCAGGAUAGCUGGCGCUCUCGCAGACCCGACGCACCCCCGCCACGCAGUUUUAUCCGGUAAAGCGAAUGAUUAGAGGUCUUGGGGCCGAAACGAUCUCAACCUAUUCUCAAACUUUAAAUAGGUAGGACGUGUCGGCUGCUUUGUUGAGCCGUCACACGGAAUCGAGAGCUCCAAGUGGGCCAUUUUUGGUAAGCAGAACUGGCGAUGCGGGAUGAACCGGAAGCCGGGUUACGGUGCCCAACUGCGCGCUAACCUAGAACCCACAAAGGGUGUUGGUCGAUUAAGACAGCAG
rnacentral:rRNA from 1 species